rnacentral:lncRNA from 1 species
CUCUGUCAAACUAAGCGUAAGUGGUUCACAGUCUGUACCACAGCUAAAUUUAAAAGCUGAGAACCCACUCUAUCAACAUUAAACAGCGGCAGUUCCUGUAAGUUUUUAAGGGUUAUUGGAAGAUGACUUUACUUGUCUUCAUACAGUUUCACCUAAAUUAUGUUGGUGCUGUUGCUUUAGGACCUUCAGACCUGGAUGGGGACGUAUGAUAAGGAUCCUGGUUCUCAGGCCUUCUGGUCUGCACUGUAGCUAUACCUCCAGCUUUCCUGUGCUGUCAGUUUGGAGACAGCAGGUCAUGAGACUUCACUGCAUUCAUAAUUAUGUGAGCCAGUUUGUCAUGGUAAAUAUGUAUGUAUGCAUGUAUGUAUCCAUCCAUCCAUCCUGUUGAUUCUGUUUCUCUGGAGAACGCUGAUUAAAACACCUCUCUGCCUUCAGAACCCUUUUUCUUUCCUCUGACGUAUUAAUACUUUGAAUUUUAUAGAGAGAUAUUACAUGAGCAGAUGUGGCAACAUUAUUGAAUAUAAAAUGGUUAAUUUUGCUGCAUCACCCAAUUUUCUUACUCUGAUAAAAACUAUAAUGUAAGAAAUGAGAUAAUAAUUAUAAGUGAUUAUGACAAGUGUAAUAAUAACAUCACUUUUAUGGGGAAAUAAGGAAAAGCAAUAAUUUAUAAUGAAAUAAAAACUAAUGAUCAACAUA